rnacentral:rRNA from 1 species
UACGUAGGGUGCAAGCGUUGUCCGGAAUCAUUGGGCGUAAAGCGCGUGUAGGCGGUCCGGUAAGUCCGCUGUGAAAGUCGAGGGCUCAACCCUCGAAUGCCGGUGGAUACUGUCGGGCUUGAGUACGGGAGAGGCGAGUGGAAUUCCUGGUGUAGCGGUGAAAUGCGCAGAUAUCAGGAGGAACACCGAUUGCGAAGGCAGCUCGCUGGAACGUUACUGACGCUGAGACGCGAAAGCGUGGGGAGCAAACGGG